rnacentral:rRNA from 1 species
AUACGUAGGGGGCGAGCGUUGUCCGGAAUGAUUGGGCGUAAAGGGCGCGUAGGCGGCGCGGUAAGUCUGGAGUGAAAGUCCUGCUUUCAAGGUGGGAAUUGCUUUGGAUACUGCCGCGCUUGAGUGCAGGAGAGGUUAUCGGAAUUCCCGGUGUAGCGGUGAAAUGCGUAGAGAUCGGGAGGAACACCAGUGGCGAAGGCGGGUAACUGGACUGCAACUGACGCUGAGGCGCGAAAGCGUGGGGAGCGAACAGGAUUAGAUACCCUGGUAGUCCACGCGGUAAACGAUGAAUGCUAGGUGUUGCGGGUAUCGACCCCUGCAGUGCCGGAGUAAACACAAUAAGCAUUCCGCCUGGGGAGUACGGCCGCAAGGUUGAAACUCAAAGGAAUUGACGGGG